rnacentral:tRNA from 1 species
GGGGCCUUAGCUCAGCUGGGAGAGCACCUGCUUUGCACGCAGGAGGUCAGCGGUUCGAUCCCGCUAGGCUCCAUCA